UGUGAGAAGGGUGUGCACAAUGAGAGAGUGAGAGGAAGAAAGAGAGGUGGGAGGUUCUAGGGUUAGAGAGAGAAUGGGGGUGGGGAAAACAGCUCAGGCGAGAGAGAGCAGGGUGGCGGCGGCGGCGGGGAGGUUAGGGUGGGCGAGAGAGACAGAGAGAGAAAGAGAGAGAGUGAGAGCAAGAGAGAAGGGUGGGUGUCACGCCCGGAUACCAGCGGAAGCAUAUCCGGUACGUGAACAGACCCGCCAUACACCUGCAGUAUAUAAGGCGUCUACAAACAAGCAAGUCGAUAGGAAGAAGAUCAUA
rnacentral:lncRNA from 1 species